rnacentral:rRNA from 1 species
GACGAACGCUGGCGGCGUGCUUAACACAUGCAAGUCGAGCGGAAAGGCCCUUCGGGGUACUCGAGCGGCGAACGGGUGAGUAACACGUGAGCAACCUGCCCUAGGCUUUGGGAUAACCCCGGGAAACCGGGGCUAAUACCGAAUAGGACCUGGCCUCGCAUGUUGGGGGGUGGAAAGUUCUGGCGGAGAGGGAUGAGCUCGCGGCCUAUCAGCUUGUUGGUGAGGUAAUGGAUCACCAAGGCUUUGACGGGUAGCCGGCCUGAGAGGGUGACCGGCCACACUGGGACUGAGACACGGCCCAGACUCCUACGGGAGGCAGCAGUGGGGAAUAUUGGACAAUGGGCGAAAGCCUGAUCCAGCAACGCCGCGUGAGGGAUGACGGCCUUCGGGUUGUAAACCUCUUUCAGCAGGGACGAAGCGAGAGUGACGGUACCUGCAGAAGAAGGACCGGCCAACUACGUGCCAGCAGCCGCAGUAACAC